GGUCCAACCUGGUUGAUCUGAUG
rnacentral:siRNA from 1 species